UACGUAGGGUGCAAGCGUUGUCCGGAAUUAUUGGGCGUAAAGGGCUCGUAGGCGGUCCAUCGCGUCGGGAGUGAAAAGCUGGGGCUUAACCCCAGUCCUGCUUCCGAUACGGGUGGACUAGAGGUAGGUAGGGGAGAUCGGAAUUCCUGGUGUAGCGGUGAAAUGACGCAGAUAUCAGGAGGAACACCGGUGGCGAAGGCGGCUUCCUGGACCGACACUGACGCUGAGGCGCGAAAGCUAGGGGAGCAAACGGG
rnacentral:rRNA from 1 species